rnacentral:rRNA from 1 species
UACACUCCUACGGGAGGCAGCAGUGGGGAAUUUUGGACAAUGGGGGCAACCCUGAUCCAGCAAUGCCGCGUGAGUGAAGAAGGCCUUCGGGUUGUAAAGCUCUUUUGUCAGGGAAGAAACGGUAGUAGCGAAUAACUAUUACUAAUGACGGUACCUGAAGAAUAAGCACCGGCUAACUACGUGCCAGCAGCCGCGGUAAUACGUAGGGUGCAAGCGUUAAUCGGAAUUACUGGGCGUAAAGCGUGCGCAGGCGGUUGUGUAAGUCAGAUGUGAAAUCCCCGGGCUCAACCUGGGAAUUGCAUUUGAGACUGCACGGCUAGAGUGUGUCAGAGGGGGGUAGAAUUCCACGUGUAGCAGUGAAAUGCGUAGAUAUGUGGAGGAAUACCGAUGGCGAAGGCAGCCCCCUGGGAUAACACUGACGCUCAUGCACGAAAGCGUGGGGAGCAAACAGGAUUAGAAACCCGUGUAGUCCCAUG